CACACGCAUGCUCCCACUGGCAGGCAUGACUGCAACACGCAGCUAAGAGUAGCUCUGUUAGAGAAGUGCCAGUGAGCAGAAGGAUCUGCAGUAAGAAGAGCUUCUGCUGUGACUCACCCAGAUAUUUCAAAGCCAGGAUUUUUGAAUAUUAUGGAAAAAGUCUGGCUGAGAGAUGGACAGUCCUAAAAAGCCACAAAAGUUACAGCUGUCUAAAUCAGAAGCUGAUAAUGGCAAUAUUAAUCUCCCAGAAAAACGCUCACCAAUCUCUUCUAGGAUCUGGCAGGAAGAAGACCCCACAUGCAAUCCUGGAUUUAGUGGAGAAGACCUUAGCAUGCGGAACUUUUGCAUCAGGGUGCAAAGUGACCAUGAAUUCAUGGAAGGAAGUUUCAGCUUUGACCUGGCUGGAGACAGCAUUUUAAGAGCUCAAAGAGAAAACUCUGUGGAAUCUGUGAGUCACCUUCCAGUUCAAGACCCUAAGCAUGUUGAAAUGUCAUUAAAUAAAGAUUAUCGGCAUUCAGAUUUAAACACAUGGGACACAAGUGAUUCAGAAUUUCAGUGCAAGAGAUCUCAAGAGUGUCCAUACACUACCUCAGUGGAAACAUCACAGAAGGACAAUUCAAUGGAUUGCAAAAUGGAAUGCAAGACUGAUGAAGGUAACCAGCACAGCCUUAACACUCUAAUAAAUCAGCAGCCCAAUUCAGAUAAUGAUGCAACUGGACAAGGAUGUUUCUCUGAAUCAUUGUCAACAGAGAGCAAAGUCACCAAGGUGCCUGAACAAAAAGUUUCAUUUUGUGAAAAACAUUUAGAUUUGGAAUCUUCUACUUGCUCUUCACAAUCUUCACAUGAAAUCAUUGGAGUGGAGCCAGACACAAAAGAGACACCCAAGGAUGUUGCAGAGACAGCACCAUAUAGCAAGAAUGUCAAUGCAGUCAAAGAACAAACACAAGUCUUGCCAAAUCCUUCUUCAGCCAAUAGUAAAGAACCUAGUCCUGAAGAUAAAAACUCAGAAGAAGCAUUAACAAAAUCAUCUAGGCAAGACAUUGAAACAAAAAUAAGUCAUGAGAAAGCAUCACUGGUCUCCACAGAAGGAGGCACUUCCGUGACUGAGUCAAAUCAAAACACUAAUACACUGUCUGAUCAAGUGACACACAGAUCUAUCGCAGUAAGUCCCAUUGUUCCUCCAGAAGGUAACCUGUCUUUUACCUUUCAAACUGCAACAAGGAUUCCAGAAACUUCAAAUAUACAAUACAGAACUGUGGCUGUGAGUCCUUUUGUUUUAGGCGAAGGAAACUCAUCAUUCUCAUUUCAGAGCGGAACGGCUACCAAUAUACAAUAUAGAUCUGUGGCUGUAAGCCCUAUUGUUCCAUCAGAAGGAAGCUCCUCCUUCCCUUUUCAGAAGGGAAUAGAAAAUCAGGAGACAUCUAAAGUACAAUAUAGAUCUGUGGCUGUGAGCCCAAUUGUUCCACCAGAGGGAAGCACAUCAUUUGCUUUUCAAAGUGGAUUGGGGACUCAAGAAAAAUCCAAUGUACAGUAUAGAUCUGUGGCAGUGAGCCCGAUUGUUCCACCAGAUGGAAGCUCAUCUUUCACUUUUCAAAGUGCAAUGGGUACUCAGGAAACAUCAAAUGUACAUUAUAGAUCUGUAGCUGUGAGUCCUAUUGUUCCACCAGAAGGAAGCUCAUCGUUCUCUUUUCAGAGUAGCAUGGGUACUCAAGAACACUCUAAAGUACAACAUAGAUCAGUGGCUGUUAGUCCAUUUGUUCAAACUGAUGGGUCUUCAUCCUUUACAUUUCAGUCUGAACACAACUCCCAGCCUGCUACAGAUCAGACAGGUUCAUCAAAUGUUUCCAAAGUCUAUACUUUUGAAUUAGCUUCUCCCAGUCAGGGUGUUGUAGCUGAGACCAGAGCUGAGUGUCGAUCCAUUGCAGUGAGUCCUAUAGUUCCACCUGAUGAGUCUACAUUUACAUUUCAGAUGCAGCAAAUCCCAUCAAACACAGCAAUGGGUUAUCAAAAAGAUAGUUUAGACUUACUUCCGAAAACAUAUUCAUUUGAACUGACACCUCCUAAUCAGGAUGUGGGGAUCCAGGCAGACACCAGAGCAGAAUGUGUUUCAGUUGCUGUGAGCCCAAUUAUCCCACCUGAUGAAUCUUCAUCUUUCAUAUUUCAGUCAGAUCAAACACAAAAGGAAUGGACCUUUAGCUGUAAUGAAAACAAGCCAGAUUGUGAGUUGCUUACACCAAACAAUCAAGAGAGUGGUAGUAAGCCUUACACUACCGUGCAAUAUGUAUCAGUAGCAGUGAGCCCCAUUGUGCCACCAGAAGGAUCCUCCACUUUUACAUUUCUAGCUGGUCAGGGAGCUGCCGGAGAUCAAGGCAGGACAAAAGACGGUCAAUGUAUAGAAAAUCUCUCAAAGACCUGUAACUUUGAGCUCAUUCCCCCUAGUCAUGAUGCUGUUCAGGCUAACCGAGUGGAAUAUAAAUCUGUAGCAGUAAGUCCUAUAGUCCCACCUGAGGGGUCGUCUUUUACUUUCCAAAGUGAAAAUAAAAAAGAUGAUCCUUACUCAAAGGAUGGGAAAGAAAAUUCUAACAGUGUUAAUGUUCUCUCUAAAACAUACUCUUUUGCGUUAAAGCCUCCCACCCAGGAUAUUGGGGUUCAAACUGACAAUAUAUCUGAAUUUGUUUCUAUAGCUGUUAGCCCAUUUGUGUUGUCUCAGGGUCCUGGGACUUUUACAUUCCAAGCAGAGGGCAAGCAGCAAGAAUUGGCCUCAAAACACCAAGACCAGACUAAAGAUGAUAACCAUUGCCAAACGCAUGAUUUUGGAACUCAGACUGACAAUGCUGUACAGUGUACAUCAAUAGCUGUUAGCCCCUUUCUACAUACAGAAGGAUCGUCUUUUCAGUUUCAAACUGAAAGCCCCUGUCCCAGCUCUCUAAAUGCAACAUGUUCAUAUGUUCUAGAGAAGCCAGUGAUGAAAGAUGCUGAGAUGCAGGUUUCUUUGUCAGCAGAGAUGAAAUCUGUUGCAAUAGACCCCAUGACACCUUUUCGUAAAUCGACUCAGACUUCUUACCCAGAGGUGCAAGUUAAAGCUAAAGGAGAUCAUCCAGAACCGGUGCGAGAAGUCAGCUGGGACGAAAAAGGAAUGACAUGGGAAGUUUAUGGAGCAUCCAUGGAAGUAGAAGUACUGGGAAUGGCCAUACAGAAACACCUAGAAAAACAAAUUGAGGAACAUGGGAGACAGAAAGUGAUGACACCUCAGAAUACAAGAGGGCUGAAAUCCACCCAUCACCACUGGUGACAGGCAGUUACCAACUGGUGUGCCAUGGACCAGAGGCAUACUAAGCAGCAGAACAACAGAGCUGAAAGGACUGUGAACCCUUCCCUUCCCCAUCUUGUUUGCUGUUGGAAGUGCCAGCAUUUGCCUAUGCUUUCCUAUGCCUAUGCUAUAUGUGAAUUACUCCAGCUAAUUUGACAUCUUUGGCUUUGAUGUGCUUUGUACUAAUGUCUUAAAAUGUCCUAAAAAUAGCACUGUAUUUAUGCAAACUGAAGCACAUGCCCAUAUUGUUUAGAACCUUCAUUUGGAAAGCAAGAAGCAUGUUACUUGUACUGUUCGCUAAACAAGUGUUUCUAACUUUCUUCAACAAUUUCUUAGUCUCUUCUUUCGUGACAUUUUGGAGGUGUUCCUUUCAUUUAAUGUGGUUGCCUUUACAGUGGGGAUUAUACGGCAGAGCUGGGUGACAGUAACGGACAUAUGACAAAUUGGCUGAGUUGCCCUGGCUGUAUGAAAUGUAUCAUGGGUUGCCGUUGGUUUGUUUAUGUCAAUGACAAUCAUUCAGCGGUGAGGAGCUUUUACAGCUUGCCAGCAAGAAGUUUACCUUGACCACGAACACUCGGAAUUUUUAACAAUUCAUAGAAUAGAAUAGUGUGAUGUCUUUCAAAACAGUAUUAGUUGUGAUAUGUUUCUAGAGAAAGGUUUUAGUAUUUUAAUACUGAGCUACAUGAUCAAAUAUCAAGAUUUGACUAGGGCUUCUCAAUGUAAAUAUGAUCAUAGAGAGACAAUCAGGAGUAUGUUAUCUUUACAGGAAAUCCACCGUAUAUUUGGAGGUGGGUGUCGAAUCAAUGGCCAAGAGGCAGAUCUCAUCCUCAGAGUUAGGCAUGUCAAUCUUUUUUUUAACACAUUUUUGUACAACUGUGACAAUCCUUCUUGACACUGAGCUAUUUCAAAGCAAGUGGCCACAAUCUCAGCUCUUCUCUUUGCAAGUCAUGAAGUGCCCUUAUACAGCCUUUGGAGCAGGCAAGUCUUUUGCUCAGCAUUGCUACCGAACCAGGACUGAUGUUUCAUGUUUUCUUGUCAUUUGAAAAUUGCGGACAGGAACCACUUGCCCAAUCUCUUAUAACAACAGAAGCCCGUAUGCUCCAAUGUUUCAUACUGCUUUAGCACAAUAAUAAUGUCUAACUCAGUAUACUCACGGGGCAUCAUCAGUGAGCUAUCCUACUGAAGGUAGAGGAUAUUGAGCAGUAUUUGGUAUGUGGCUAAUUUUUCUUAACGAAGAGUUUCCAUGUCCAUCUCAUAGAACAUUAGCAAACACAGUUAAGAUUACUUUUUUAUAUUCUAUUCUCUAGCAAUGCCUCAGCCCAAAUGACUGAUGGGUACGAGCUGGGCACCUUCCUCUCGCUGUGAUAUUCCUGUACUUUUGACUCCUAGUCUACAUUUCUCUUUCUUUGCUGUUCUGAUUAUGAUGUGAAUUUAUAAUGUGCCAUAGAAGUUUAAUUUAAUGUGUGAUGGUGGUGACAUAAUGUGGACUCGUCAUUUUUUUCCCUUCCAUUUUCCCAAGUUGUAGAGCUGAACAUUGGUUAAUAAAAAUUUUCGGAAAA